rnacentral:rRNA from 1 species
AACGAACGCUGGCGGCAGGCUUAACACAUGCAAGUCGAGCGAGACCUUCGGGUCUAGCGGCGGACGGGUGAGUAACGCGUGGGAACGUUCCCUUCUCUACGGAAUAGCCCCGGGAAACUGGGAGUAAUACCGUAUACGCCCUUUUGGGGAAAGAUUUAACGGAGAAGGAUCGGCCCGCGUUGGAUUAGGUAGUUGGUGUGGUAAUGGCCCACCACGCCGACGAUCCAUAGCUGGUUUGAGAGGAUGAUCAGCCACACUGGGACUGAGACACGGCCCAGACUCCUACGGGAGGCAGCAGUGGGGAAUCUUAGAAAAUGGGGGCAACCCUGAUCGAGCCAUGCCGGGUGAGUGAUGAAGGCCUUAGGGUUGUAAAGCUCUUUCAGCUGGGAAGAUAAUGACGGUACCAGAAGAAGAAGCCCCGGCUAACUCCGUG